rnacentral:lncRNA from 1 species
UGGUGUUGGAGAUUCUUGAAGAGAGAUUUGAGAUAUGAAAGUACAAUGGCAAAGGGAUCAAGUAAACAAAUAGCUAGAAUAUUUUUCUUUAUAAUCCAUAAGAUAUGAGAUUCUGAAAUGGCCUUAGUCAUGAUUAGAAUUAAUUAUAAGACUAAAAAAAAUAAAUAGAAUUAAUUUGAAGUACAAAAGCAUAAGGAGAGUCCAAUUAAGAUCAAUUAGGGACAUAGGCAGAGCCAAAAACUUUUGCUUGGAGUGGGGGACAAAAAUCACUAAAAAUCUACAUGAUGGAUCAUUCAUUAAAUGUUAAAUAUCUAGGUUCACAGGUGUUAUGGAGGGAAUCUACCAUCCGACCUCGACCUUCCCUUCUUUGGUCACUAUCGAACACUCAUUUUGGAUCUGGCAUCGAUGACUUGAAAGAAACCAAAGGACCUCCUCAGGUAUCUCGAAUAGAAGAUUGGACGACUGAAUUAUCCAAUUAAAAUAAUUCCUUGAUGUCGGCUAUAACUUGACCUUAAGCUCAUACGCAUGUUGACCCUUAGGUUGGGACCAUACCGACGACAAAAGAUGAAGCCUUAGGUUAUCAAGCCAUUAUAAAAAUAAGGAUCAUUCUAAAGAAUUCUCUUAAAAUCUCAAAUGAAUUUUUCUUAAUUAUGGGUACAUGAGCUAAUUUCUCGUCAUUAACACCUGUAACCU